rnacentral:rRNA from 1 species
AUACGAGGGGUGCAAGCGUUGUUCGGAAUUAUUGGGCGUAAAGGGUGUGUAGGCGGCGAUCUAAGUCAACUGUAAAAUACUCCGGCCUAACUGGAGAUAUGCAGUAGAUACUGGAUUGCUAGAGGAUGGAAGAGAGAAGUGGAAUUCUCGGAGUAGCGGUAAGAUGCGUGGAUCUCGAGAGGAACACCAAUGGCGAAGGCAGCUUCUUGGUCCAUUUCUGACGCUGAGACACGAAAGCGUGGGGAGCAAACAGGAUUAGAUACCCUGGUAGUCCACGCUGUAAACGAUGAUCACUAGACGUUAGUUCUGUUUUUACAGAGUUAGUGUCGUAGCUAACGCGAUAAGUGAUCCGCCUGGGGACUACGGUCGCAAGAUUAAA